CCCCUAGAUGUUCUGGGCCGCACGCGCGCUACACUGAACAGUUCAACAAGUUUUGUCCUUGGCUGAUAGGCCUGGGUAAUCUUUGAACGUGAAUCGUGAUGGGGAUAGAUGAUUGCAAUUAUUCAUCUUCAACGAGGAAUUCCUAGUAAACGCAAGUCAUCAGCUUGCAUUGAUUACGUCCCUGCCCUUUGUACACACCGCCCGUCGCACCUACCGAUUGAAUGGUCCGGUGAAAUCUUCGGAUCUGAGAGAUGUCUGAUUAAUUUCGGACGCCUUUUGGAAAAGUUGCUUAAACCUUACCAUUUAGAGGAAGGUGAAGUCGUAACA
rnacentral:rRNA from 1 species